AACUUUGCGGGGCGUGCUAUACAUGCAAGUCGAACGCUUUGUGGUUCAACUGAUUUGAAGAGCUUGCUCAGAUAUGACGAUGGACAUUGCAAAGAGUGGCGAACGGGUGAGUAACACGUGGGAAACCUACCUCUUAGCAGGGGAUAACAUUUGGAAACAGAUGCUAAUACCGUAUAACAAUGACAACCGCAUGGUUGUUAUUUAAAAGAUGGUUCUGCUAUCACUAAGAGAUGGUCCCGCGGUGCAUUAGCUAGUUGGUAAGGUAAUGGCUUACCAAGGCGAUGAUGCAUAGCCGAGUUGAGAGACUGAUCGGCCACAAUGGGACUGAGACACGGCCCAUACUCCUACGGGAGGCAGCAGUAGGGAAUCUUCCACAAUGGGCGAAAGCCUGAUGGAGCAACGCCGCGUGUGUGAUGAAGGGUUUCGGCUCGUAAAACACUGUUGUAAGAGAAGAAUGACAUUGAGAGUAACUGUUCAAUGUGUGACGGUAUCUUACCAGAAAGGAACGGCUAAAUACGUGCCAGCAGCCGCGGUAAUACGUAUGUUCCAAGCGUUAUCCGGAUUUAUUGGGCGUAAAGCGAGCGCAGACGGUUAUUUAAGUCUGAAGUGAAAGCCCUCAGCUCAACUGAGGAAUUGCUUUGGAAACUGGAUGACUUGAGUGCAGUAGAGGAAAGUGGAACUCCAUGUGUAGCGGUGAAAUGCGUAGAUAUAUGGAAGAACACCAGUGGCGAAGGCGGCUUUCUGGACUGUAACUGACGUUGAGGCUCGAAAGUGUGGGUAGCAAACAGGAUUAGAUACCCUGGUAGUCCACACCGUAAACGAUGAGUGCUAGGUGUUUGAGGGUUUCCGCCCUUAAGUGCCGCAGCUAACGCAUUAAGCACUCCGCCUGGGGAGUACGACCGCAAGGUUGAAACUCAAAGGAAUUGACGGGGACCCGCACAAGCGGUGGAGCAUGUGGUUUAAUUCGAAGCAACGCGAAGAACCUUACCAGGUCUUGACAUCCCUUGACAACUCCAGAGAUGGAGCGUUCCCUUCGGGGACAAGGUGACAGGUGGUGCAUGGUUGUCGUCAGCUCGUGUCGUGAGAUGUUGGGUUAAGUCCCGCAACGAGCGCAACCCUUAUUACUAGUUGCCAGCAUUCAGUUGGGCACUCUAGUGAGACUGCCGGUGACAAACCGGAGGAAGGUGGGGAUGACGUCAAAUCAUCAUGCCCCUUAUGACCUGGGCUACACACGUGCUACAAUGGCGUAUACAACGAGUUGCCAACCCGCGAGGGUGAGCUAAUCUCUUAAAGUACGUCUCAGUUCGGAUUGUAGGCUGCAACUCGCCUACAUGAAGUCGGAAUCGCUAGUAAUCGCGGAUCAGCACGCCGCGGUGAAUACGUUCCCGGGUCUUGUACACACCGCCCGUCACACCAUGAGAGUUUGUAACACCCAAAGCCGGUGGGGUAACCUUCGGGAGCCAGCCGUCUAAGUGACAGAAUUGG
rnacentral:rRNA from 1 species